rnacentral:misc_RNA from 1 species
GAUGAAGAACGCAGCGAAAUGCGAUAAGUAAUGCGAAUUGCAGAAUUCAGUGAAUCAUCGAAUCUUUGAACGCACAUGGCGCCUUCCAGUAUCCUGGGAGGCAUGCCUGUCCGAGCGUCGUUUCAACCCUCGAGCCCCCGUGGCCCGGCGUUGGGGAUCUGCCACGGCAGGCCCCUAAAACCAGUGGCGGACCCGAAGGCCCUCUCCUUUGCGCAGUAGCAUCAGCCUCGCAUUGGGAUCCCUCGGCGUCCUGCCUCUAAACCCCCCACAAGUCCGCUCCGGCGGCACCAAGGUUGACCUCGGAUCAGGUAGGAAUACCCGCUGAACUUAAGCAUAUCAAUAAGCGGAGGA